AGUCACUGGAAGAUGCGAGCCGUGCCUCCCCCUCCGCGGCCGAGCCUACUUCCUGGUGGAGGAGGCGGUGUCCUCGUAGUAAGCACACGGGGCAGCUAAAGCGAAGGUGGAGGCGGCUGUUGAUGGUCAGCAGGCGCGACGCAGUAGUUAAUUACCACACAUUGUUGCGCGGGGGGGGGAGUGUCGGGGUCGUUUAAAAAAAAAUGGGAAGCACGGUGAUGGAGUCCAGCAAGGACAGCUCAAAGAAAAUGCCAAAGCGAAGACGAAGUCUGCGGAUUAACAUGCCAGACUUUGGUGCGUUUACUUCCCCACAAGCGGACACGAGUGGCUCACCCAAACGCGGCGCUCAGACGGGAGAGCCCCGCAUCCGUUCGGCCAGCCCCACCGGAGUGGCGUCCGCGAGGCGCCCAGCCGGCGCUCCUUCGGCGCUGGGCUCUCAGUCCGCUCCUGUGCAGCUGAAGGCCGGCUCCAGCUCCCCCAAAACCAUCUUCCCCUAUCCCUCAUAUCAGGACUCCCCACCCAAGUCCCCCCGGCGACUGAGCUUCAGUGGUAUCUUCCGUUCCUCAUCUUGCUCCACACCUGCAAGCAUCAAAAUCUUCUCCAGAACCAGGAGAGCCUCUGGACUCUCCACACCACCCACCACCCCGACCCAGGCUUGCAGCCAGCCUGUGUUCACCCAGGAGGCCCGAGCGAGCGGGCCGAGCCCUGAACGCCUAGAGGCCAGCGCCCGCUCCCGCUCCCGCUCCAUCUCCAUGCCUCCGGACACAGGACAGCGCCUCGGCCCUCCCUCUGCUAGGCCCCCGAUCGCCUGCCCGGGCCCCGUGCCCUCCUACUCUCCCUCACAAGUCCACGGUCCCAUCGAAGGCAUGCUGGAGAAACUUGAACUAGAUGAUGACGCUGCUGAACCUGAGAGUGAUAUCUACAUGCGCUUCAUGAAAUCACACAAGUGCUAUGACAUUGUCCCCACAAGCUCCAAGCUGGUCGUGUUCGACACGGCACUCCAAGUAAAGAAAGCGUUCUUUGCCUUGGUAGCCAACGGUGUGCGAGCGGCUCCACUAUGGGACACGGAGAAGCAAAGCUUUGUGGGAAUGCUGACCAUCACAGAUUUCAUCAUCAUACUACACCGAUACUACAAGUCGCCGAUGGUGCAAAUCUAUGAAUUGGAGGAACAUAAGCUAGAGACGUGGAGAGAGGUUUACCUUCAAGCAACGUUCAAACCUCUGGUCAACAUAUCACCUGAUGCAAGCCUAUUCGAUGCAGUGUACACACUCAUCAAAAACAAAAUUCACCGCCUGCCUGUCAUCGACCCCGUCACAGGGAAUGCACUUUAUAUUCUCACACACAAGAGGAUCCUCAAGUUCCUCCAGCUUUUUAUGUGUGAAAUGCCAAAGCCAGCCUUCAUGAAGCAGACCCUCGGGGAGCUGGGCAUUGGUUCGUACCACAACAUCGCGUUCAUCCACCCCGACACGCCCAUCAUCAAAGCACUCAACAUCUUUGUGGAGAGAAGAGUGUCCGCCCUGCCUGUGGUGGAUGAGUCGGGCAAAGUUGUUGAUAUUUACUCCAAGUUUGAUGUGAUAAACUUGGCUGCUGAGAAGACGUACAACAACCUGGACAUCACAGUGACGCAGGCUCUGAAACACCGCUCUCAGUACUUCGAAGGCGUCAUGAAGUGCCAUAAGACGGAAACGAUGAAGACCAUCGUGGACAGAAUCGUCAAAGCUGAAGUGCAUCGGUUGGUGGUGGUGGACGAGCACUCGAGCAUCGAGGGCAUCGUCUCCCUGUCAGACAUCCUCCAGGCCCUGGUGCUCAGCCCCGCAGGUAUAGAUGCCCAGAACCGCUAGCCCCAACUCCCCCUCUUGUCCCAGACCCUGAGCUCCCUCCCCCACCCCGCCCUUCCUGUGGCCCAGAGGCCUGUAAGGAGGAGGAGACCCUGGGCUGAGUGUAAGGGGGAGGAAGCGCCAGCUGGAGUGGAGACUUGGUGGAAGUGAAAAAGUUUUGUGGUUGAGGUACGGCGUGGGAGGCGGAGCCGGUUUGAGGGGCCCCCCCGAGAGCCCAGAAACGGAAGCACCGCUACCUCCAAACCAAAGAGCCAGACGGCUGAAUGAAGUGGACUUCCUGCGCUGAGGAUGGAUAUUUCUGUUGUUUUUUUCUUCUUCUUUUUGUUUGAACACUAAGAUGCGCACACACGCGUUAAACUGUACUUAUACACAGACUUAGAGAAUAAUUAUUGUCACUUGCUUGGUGAAAGGUGGGAAAGUCUCUACUGCUCCUAAUGAGUUCUCCAGUGUUUUGGGUUGUGUAGUUAUAAUCAUGCAGCUGUUAUCAGUGGAUCUUUUUGUUGCAGUUUGUAGUCUAAAAUGAAUGUUAUCACCUCCCAGGAAUGUGUCUCAGUUUUUGGUGUACGAAGGUCUACAGUCAAAGAUGCAACUAAUAGUUAGACACUUUAUCCGGAAAUGUAACUGCUUCAUGAAAAGAUAAAGUUUCAGAGCCAAUUUAGAGAGAUUGAUGGUUCAUCUUAUUUGUGCCUUUUUUGUCCUGCCUACAUCUCUGACAAAUGUUGCCUUUUGAAUGUAAUAGACUAUUGACUUCAUUCGUUUUAUUGUCAUUUUAAAACAUGCCAGGAGUGUAAAUGUCUUGAAAAGAACUCAUUGGAAUUAGCAUAUUCCAAAUGAAAUAAAGGUUUGGCGAUUUAGAGACAAAUAUACUGAGAACUUAUAACCCCCCCCCCCCCUGUUAUAUCUGCUGUAGCUUGACAGGACUCAUCUCCAUCUUUGACUGUAAAUAGUUUAGUUUGUUUUGGGGAAACGUGUGACAUAAAGCUUUAUUUUCAUGAAUGUGUCAACGUGUUUAAUGAGACCAGUUUUCAUUUUAUUUUUGUAAAUUAAUUAUGGAAACAGUUCAAAGCGAUGUUGUAUUAGAUCAACAUGUACUGUAAACGUGCAAGCAUGAGAAACUACACUUCAGCAGUAUGAAUGUCUUUUUGUUUUACUUUUCUAUUUUUCUGGCUGCAGAAAAAUAAAUGGACACUGAAUGUA